GCAAGAUAGCAAGGGCAAAUGGUGGAUGCCUUGGCACAGAGAGGCGAUGAAGGACGCGUCUACCGGCGAUACGCUACGGGGAGCUGGUAAAAAGCUUUGAUCCGUAGAUUUCCGAAUGGGGAAACCCGAUUGAGGUAAUGCUCAAUCACCUGUAAAGGAGCCAACCCGGGGAAUUGAAAUAUCUCAGUACCCGGAGGAGAAGAAAUCAAUUGAGAUUCCCUUAGUAGCGACGAGCGAAACGGGAACAGCCCAAAUUCUAGUGCUUGCACUAGAAGGUUGUAGGACCUCUAUAUAUUUUGACUUAAUAAUAACAGAACAUUAUGGAAAGAUUGACCAUAGAAGGUGAUAGUCCUGUAAGUAAAAUUAUUAAAUCAAGAUUGAGGUAUCCUGAGUAGCGCGGGACUCGUGGAACCCUGCGUGAAUCUGGGGAGACCACUCUCCAAGGCUAAAUACUCCUCUGUGACCGAUAGUGAACUAGUACCGUGAGGGAAAGGUGAAAAGAACCCUUUAGAAGGGAGUGAAAUAGAACCUGAAACCAUUUGCUUACAAACGGUGGGAGCCAUUUUUUUAUGGUGACCUCGUGCCUUUUGCUUAAUGAGCCAACGAGUUGCUCGUCACGGGCAAGGGUAAGAUUCUCAGAAUCGCACCCGCAGCGAAAGCAAGUCUGAAUAGGGCGCAAAAAUAGUCCGUGGCGGCAGACGCGAAACCUUGUGAUCUAUCCUUGACCAGGAUGAAGCGUAGGUAACACUACGUGGAGGUCCGAACUAGUGUGGGUUGAAAACCGCUUGGAUGAGUUGAGGAUAGGGGUGAAAGGCCAAUCAAACUGGGUAAUAGCUCGUACUCCCCGAAAUGUAUUUAGGUGCAGCCUCGCAUAAGUGUACAGGAGGUAGGGCUCUGAUUGGGCUAGGGCGGUUCAUCCCGUACCAAACCCUGAUAAACUACAAAUUCCUGAUACAUAAUAUGCGGGAGUAAGGCGGUGGGAGAUAAGUUUCAUCGCCGAGAGGGAAACAACCCAGAUCGGCAGCUAAGGCCCCAAAGUAAACGCUAACAGAUAAAGGAGGUUGUGUUGCUUAGACAGCCAGGAUGUUGGCUUAGAAGCAGCCACGCAUUUAAAGAGUGCGUAAUAGCUCACUGGUCGAGCGACACAGCGCCGACAAUAAUCGGGACUAAGCGUUUCGCCGAAGCUCCGGGUCCGUUGAGACGGUAGGGGAGCAUUCUGUAUGCGGUGAAGAUGAAGUGUGAGCUUUGUUGGAGCGUACAGAAGAGCAGAUGUUGGCAUAAGUAACGAUAAUUUAGGUGAGAAUCCUAAACGCCGAAAGUCUAAGGUUUCCUUGAGAUAUGUUCGUCAGCUCAGGGUUAGUCGGCCCCUAAGGCGAGACCGAAAGGUGUAGUCGAUGGGAAAUAGGUAAUUUAUAAUAUUCCUAUACCACCGAAAGGUUAACUACAGGGACGCAGGAGCGUAGUUGAUGGGUGCUAAUGGCUAUCAUCUAUCAAUAAAGCACACUGCCAAGAAAAGCUGUAGGUAUCCCCAAGGUGACCGUACCGCAAUCCGACACAGGUAGACGAGUUGAGUAUACUAAGGCGCGCGAGUGAUUCGUGGUUAAGGAACUCGGCAAUAUAACCCCGUAACUUCGGGAGAAGGGGUUCCUCUAAGUGAUUGGAGGACGCAGUGAAAUGGCCCAGGCGACUGUUUAACAAAAACACAGCACACUGCUAACUCGUAAAGAGGAUGUAUAGUGUGUGACACCUGCCCGGUGCCGGAAGGUUAAGGGGAAGGGUUAGCGCAAGCGAAGCUCUGAACCGAAGCCCCGGUAAACGGCGGCCGUAACUAUAACGGUCCUAAGGUAGCGAAAUUCCUUGUCGGGUAAGUUCCGACCUGCACGAAUGGUGUAACGAUCUGGGCACUGUCUCAACCACGAGCUCGGUGAAUUUGUGGUACCGGUGAAGACGCCGGUUACCCGCACUGGGACGGGAAGACCCCGUGGACCUUUACUAUAGCCUACUAUUGAGUUCGGUUAUAGCAUGCGUAGGAUAGGUGGGAGACUAUGAGGCUUCGAUUGUGGUCGAAGCGGAGUCAACGGUGAAAUACCACCCUUGCUAUAAUUGAAUUCUAACUUGGUGGAGUGGAUCCACAAGAACAGUGGUAGGUGGGUAGUUUGACUGGGGCGGUCGCCUCCCAAAUUGUAACGGAGGCUUACAAAGGUCACCUCAGCACGGUCGGUAAUCGUGCAUAGAGUGUAAAGGCAUAAGGUGGCUUGACUGCGAGACCGACAGGUCGAGCAGGUGCGAAAGCAGGUCUUAGUGAUCCGGCGGUUCCGAGUGGAAGGGCCGUCGCUCAAAGGAUAAAAGGUACCCCGGGGAUAACAGGCUGAUCUUACCCAAGAGUUCAUAUCGACGGUAAGGUUUGGCACCUCGAUGUCGGCUCAUCGCAUCCUGGGGCUGAAGAAGGUCCCAAGGGUUUGGCUGUUCGCCAAUUAAAGCGGUACGUGAGCUGGGUUCAGAACGUCGUGAGACAGUUCGGUCCCUAUCUAGUGUGGGCGCAAGAUACUUGAGGGAAUCCGUCAUUAGUACGAGAGGACCGUGACGCCCGGACCUAUGGUGCAUCUGUUGUCACGCCAGUGGCAUCGCAGAGUAGCUAUGUCCGGUAGGAAUAAGUGCUGAAAGCAUCUCAAGCACGAAGUCCAUCCCAAGAUGAGGUAUCUAUUAAGGGUCCAGGUAGACGACCUGGUUGAUAGGCUUCAGGUAUAAGCACAGUAAUGUGUUCAGCCGAGAAGUACUAAUAACCCGUCUGCUUGCCAGA
rnacentral:rRNA from 1 species